GGGGACGUGGCGCAGUUGGCUAGCGCGUAGGUCUCAUACAGUACUGUGAUCAAUCAACCAUUGAACAAUCCUAAGGUCGUGAGUUCGAGCCUCACCGUCCCCA
rnacentral:tRNA from 1 species